AUGUGGGAUGCAGUUAUAGAAGUGCUAGCUAUUGUGCAUGAGGAUGAGCGUAAUCCAUCUAGGGCAGGAGGUUUGGUGCAGAUAAUGGAGUCUUUUAGCUUUGUGUUCAUCAUGAAAUUAAUUAAUGUUGCAAAUCCUUCGCAUUACAAAUCAGUUGUCACUUCUCCUCCAACAGAAGGAUCAGAAUAUUGUUCAAGCCAUGUCUUUGGUUACAUACGUGAAAUCUUCCUUUGCCAACUUGAGGAACCAUGGUUGGGAACCACUUUUUGA
rnacentral:rRNA from 1 species